rnacentral:rRNA from 1 species
UACGUAGGGGGCAAGCGUUGUCCGGAUUUAUUGGGCGUAAAGAGCGUGUAGGCGGCUUAGUAGGUCCGCUGUGAAAACUCGAGGCUCAACCUCGAGAUGUCGGCGGAAACCACUUGGCUAGAGUCCGGAAGAGGAGAGUGGAAUUCCUGGUGUAGCGGUGAAAUGCGCAGAUAUCAGGAAGAACACCUAUGGCGAAGGCAGCUCUCUGGGACGGUACUGACGCUGAGACGCGAAAGCGUGGGGAGCGAACAGG